AGGGAAGCAAGAAUAGGAGACACAUAGAAGUCAGGAUUACUGCAGGACCAGACUGCAUAAGACAGGAGAUAAGGAAGUAGUGAGAAGCCAGGCACCACAUAAUGAAAGCAGCAGGAGGAUGGGCAGAUUUUAAGUGCGAAGCACACAAGAAUGGGAAUCUAUUAACAGUCAGAAUAAAUCUCCAUAUCAGGAAGAGAAGAAAUGCACAGUGGAUGAGUCUUACUCAUCUUUGAAACCAAAUUGUAGAAGCACCCCUUUCACUUUUUUGUGACAACAUAACAAUUAGAGUAAGACAUCUUAUGAUUACUCCUGAAUGAAGGGCCUUUAUAGAAGCCAAUA